rnacentral:rRNA from 1 species
GCGUAACGCGUAUGCAACCUACCUUAGUCAGGGGGAUAGCCAGAAGAAAUUCGGAUUAACACCGCAAAAAAUCACAGUACAGCAUUGUACAAUGAUCAAAUAUUUAUAGGAUUAAGAUGGGCAUGCGUGUCAUUAAUUAGUUGGCGAGGUAACGGCUCACCAAGACCACGAUGACUACGGGAUCUGACAGGAUGACCCCCCACACUGGUACUGAGACACGGACCAGACUCCUACGGGAGGCAGCAGUAAGGAAUAUUGGUCAAUGGAGGCAACUCUGAACCAGCCAUGCCGCGUGCAGGAAGACAGCCCUCUGGGUCGUAAACUGCUUUUAUUCGGGAAUAAACCUACUUACGUGUAAGUAGCUGAAUGUACCGAAGGAAUAAGGAUCGGCUAACUCCGUGCCAGCAGCCGCGGUAAUACGGAGGAUCCAAGCGUUAUCCGGAUUUAUUGGGUUUAAAGGGUGCGUAGGCGGCUUAUUAAGUCAGGGGUGAAAGACGGUGGCUCAACCAUCGCACUGCCCUUGAUACUGAUGAGCUUGAAUACACUAGAGGUAGGCAGAAUGUGACAAGUAGCGGUGAAAUGCAUAGAUAUGUCACAGAACACCGAUUGCGAAGGCAGCUUACUAUGGUGUCAUUGACACUGAGGCACGACAGCGUGAGGAUCAAACAGGAUUAGAUACCCUGGUAGUCCACGCCCUACACGAUGAAUACUCGCUGUUAUCG